rnacentral:rRNA from 1 species
AACGAACGCUGGCGGCAGGCCUAACACAUGCAAGUCGAGCGCCCUUUCGGGGGAGCGGCGGACGGGUGAGUAACGCGUGGGAAUAUGCCCUUCUCUACGGAAUAGCCUCGGGAAACUGAGAGUAAUACCGUAUACGCCCUGUGGGGGAAAGAUUUAUCGGGGAAGGAUUAGCCCGCGUUGGAUUAGGUAGUUGGUGGGGUAAUGGCCUACCAAGCCGACGAUCCAUAGCUGGUUUGAGAGGAUGAUCAGCCACACUGGGACUGAGACACGGCCCAGACUCCUACGGGAGGCAGCAGUGGGGAAUCGUAGACAAUGGGGGCAACCCUGAUCUAGCCAUGCCGCGUGAGUGAUGAAGGCCUUAGGGUUGUAAAGCUCUUUCAGCUGGGAAGAUAAUGACGGUACCAGCAGAAGAAGCCCCGGCUAACUCCGU